UACGGAGGGGGCUAGCGUUGUUCGGAAUUACUGGGCGUAAAGCGUACGUAGGCGGCUUUGUAAGUUAGAGGUGAAAGCCCGGGGCUCAACUCCGGAAUUGCCUUUAAGACUGCAUCGCUUGAAUCAUGGAGAGGUGAGUGGAAUUCCUGGUGUAGCGGUGAAAUGCGUAGAUAUCAGGAGGAACACCGGUGGUGUAGACGGCUCACUGGGACCGUAACUGACGCUGAGACACGAAAGCGUGGGUAGCAAACAGG
rnacentral:rRNA from 1 species